UACAGAGACCUCAAGCGUUAUCCGGAUUUAUUGGGCGUAAAGAGCAUGUAGGCGGAUAUAUUAGUCAGAUGUCAAAUCUUCGAGCUUAACUCGAAAACUGCAUUUGAAACGGUAUAUCUCGAGAGAGUGAGAGACUGAUGGAACAUAUGGUGUAGCAGUGAAAUGCGUUGAUAUCAUAUGGAACACCAAAGGCGAAGGCAUUCAGUUGGCACUCUUCUGACGCUGAGAUGCGAAAGCGUGGGUAG
rnacentral:rRNA from 1 species